rnacentral:tmRNA from 1 species
GGGGAUGUAUUUGGUUUCGACAAUAAUUCUGAAGUAUGAAUAGCGAGUAGUGGAUGGUCGCUUUGGCCACUAUAAAAAAGCGAAUAUUAAAUAUAAACGCUGAUAAUAGAGAAUUAGCUUACGCUGCUUAAUUUUAGCGGCACGUCUUUCUUAGACUUCCUACGGUUUAAGAUAAGGCGACAAAUUAGUAGGAAACAAAUUUAUCCAACUCCAUUAGGAUAAAUGGUAAUUUAAUGGAUACCUAAAAUUUAAAUUUGUUUGUUAGUUUAUAUUUAGGGAAUUUUUUAACAAACUGCACUCGGAGAAGUUUAUAUGGAUGGGUUACUGGACAGGAGUUCGACUCUCCUCAUCUCCACCA